GUGUUUUGUCUGCCUCCCUCUCUCUUCUGUCCAUUCAGCCGUAACGAUGAAGCCAUCUGUCAUUUUGACUCACUCAUUUUAACUGGCUGAUCUGCCCUUGUGUGUCGUCUGCAUGUGUAAGGGUGUAUCAGUUGGGAUUCCAGAGACAUCUGAAAUCCACUUAAUUCAAGGUUAAAGUAACCUAGGCACAGAGUGGAAUAUCAUGGACCCUCCAAAGGAUACACCUGGGAACAGAACUACAAACCCCGUGUACAAAGAGGACAGCCUCAGCCAACAAAACAAAACAACAUCAACCCUACUGACCAGCCCAGUGACAAGGCCACUGAGCAAGAACAUUGGAUCCAGGCCAGACUGGCUGCUGUACACUGUCCCUGGUCUUGCUUUUGUACUAGGAAUUGUUUUGUUUCUUUUUGUCCUCAAAACCCACAAGAGAAGGACAGGUGCAUAUUACCACAGGGACAUGAAAGGAUGUUCUUCAGUUAAGCAAACAGAAAGUGAUGAUAUGGCACCCAAAUGUUUGACUACAGCUGACACCCAGUCAUAUGAAAAUGUGUUGGCAGCUAUUUACAGCAACCAAGAGGGAGUGUGUUUCUAUGUACGUGAAGACGAUGACUAUGUCACCCCUGUUGGUGGAGAUGAUGCAGCUGAGAAGUUUGCUCAGACCCCCUCCGAUUCUCUCAAUCUACCAGACACUCUUACAGAAGGAGAAUCUUAUGAGAACAUGGAAGGCCUCUAUGCUCAUCCACGUAAAAGAUUUAACAAGAGUCAGGAGGAGGAUGAAGUUUACUUCGAUCCUGAUGCAGUGGAACAACAAUGCCAAGGAGGGUUACAUUUACCACAGGAGCUAACUGACACUGAUUCAUAUGAGAACAUGGAGCAGAAUUUUGCAGCUCAUCAACAAGACAGUGACGAUUACAUCAAUCCUGACACAGAUAUGGGGCAUUGUUCCAGACUGAUGAGCUGUCCUCUGGAGGGUAGGGACUACUACACUGGUAAGUAUAAAUGUGCAUUUGUCUGUAGCUUUUCAGGGGUCACAAGCAGAGAGGAGAAGACAGGGAAGAUAUGUCCAGUAUGUGUCUGCAUUCUAAGUGUUGUGGACAUCCUCACACCCCAUAUUGUCUGUGUUUUAUUAUUCUAG
ensembl:lncRNA